CCCUUAGAUGUUCUGGGCCGCACGCGCGCUACACUGUUCGACGCAGCGAGUCUUAACCUUGACCGAAAGGUUUGGGUAAUCUUCAGCAAAGUCGAACGUGAUGGGGAUCGAUCAUUGCAAUUAUUGCUCGUGAACGAGGAAUUCCUAGUAAGUGCAAGUCAUCAGCUUGCGCUGAUUACGUCCCUGCCCUUUGUACACACCGCCCGUCGCUACUACCGAUUGAAUGGUUUAGUGAGAUCUCUGGAUUGACGCUGGCUAGGGGGCGACCCUUGGCCAGACUGUUGAGAAACUGCUCAAACUUGAUCAUUUAGAGGAAGUAAAAGUCGUAACA
rnacentral:rRNA from 1 species